rnacentral:lncRNA from 1 species
ACCCUGAACUUCCUCAGCAUGAGCUUCCUCAUUGCUUGGGACAAUCUCAUAACCUUGAACCAUCUGGAAGUCGUUGCCAGUUUCCUCAGUCAUGCUUCUUGGCUAGUAGCUAGAACUCACAAAAUCUGUCAAAUAGUAACAUGGUAACAGCAGAAGUCAGUAUAACAAUCAUUUGGCCAAAAAAAAAACUCGAAAGUGACUUAUACACGGACAAUAACAAACCAGUAUCACUACAGUGGCCUAUUUAACAAAACAGGAAGAUAAAAGAAAGACAACAUGAUUUCUUGAUAACAAAUUAGCAAACCAGGUUAUAGUAACUGGGGCACAGAUGAAAUAACAAAACUAUAAAUGUCAUCCAGGAAUAUUAUGGAAACUUAGAAUGGGGAACAUAUCUUCUCACUCCUCAGUAAAAAUGCUUAAAGUACACAAUUUAAAUUAAAUUUUAUUUGCCACCGAAAGUGCAAACUUCAUGAGCAGAACCAUGUGCUACGUUGUUUUCCCGACAAAUUUCAAGAAAAGAAGGGGUAUCACAUGCAAAUUUAAUUGGACCAGAAUGACUCGUGCAAACUUAGUUGGUAACUUUACUCCCUACUAGGAGUGAUUUCAGCAACUCCAGAUAAGUUUAAGAGUCAUAUCUUCCUUAUUAUCCUCAUGCAAUGCAAGCCAACCCAUUCUUGUUCUUCGUAGGCACGAACUCAAAAUAAUCGGUGAGAAGGAAGUAAUUAACAACCUAUGUAUUGCUUGAGUUGGCGGGACACAGUUACACAGGACUUGAAAAUCAAGCUCACCUAGUUAGCUAAACAGCGGCAAGAGGCUAGUUUAAGAUGCUAAGCUAGUACUAUAAAGUUGCAAGAACCUAUCUGAAGAGGUAGCUAGUGGUAGAGCUUUCUUUGGACAAAGAAAGAUAAAUUUCUCCGCACGACUACACAAAGCACAUAUUCAGAUUCAAUUAUCUAAGCGCACCAAGUCCAACAUCACAUAUCUCCCCCAAAACGAACGAAUCAAAAGUUGCCCUCUCUCCGGAUCUCCCAUCCCCCCCCCCCCCCUACGGUGAAAUUCAUGCGCAAAAACUCGACAUCUCAGCGAGCUCCGACGAUUUCCAGGCAGGCCGCGCUUCCCCCCGACAAAGAAUCCCUAACCCAACAACAACAACAAUGUAGCCAGCACAGCAGCAAGCAGCAGUGGAUUCGCGAGGAGAAAUCGGUGACAAAUUGGGCCUGGAUAACGGGCCUCCCUCCCAAAUCCCGAUCAAAAAAAAGAAGAAGAACCGCACGAAAAGCUCCAAGCACGCGCAGAUCUGGAAACGGAAUUCAAACCCCCCACCCCCCGACCACGAGACCUCGCGAGGCAGGAAGAAGAGAAGAGAUGGAGAGAGGAGCUUACACGAGGAGGAGGAGGAGGAGGAGGAGGAGGAGAGGGAUGGUGGUGGCAGAUCCGCGCGCGGGCGGGGCUCGCUCGCUAGGGCUCGGCCCAAGAAGCUCCAAGGCCGGGGCGAGCGGCGAAGCAGAUCUGGUAGUAGGUGCAGGGGAGAGGAGGACGAGAUGGGGGGAAGAAAAUUUGCCUCGUUUGGGUGCGGGUUUUCCGGUGGAUCGGGUGGGCUGCCGAAUCCGCGGCGUGUGGGCGAAUCGAU